CUACGGAGGAUGCAAGCGUUAUCCGGAUUUAUUGGGUUUAAAGGGUGCGUAGGCGGUUUGCUAAGCGGGAGGUGAAAUGCCGGCGCUCAACGUCGGAAGUGCCUCCCGAACUGGUGGACUGGAAUGACUCUGCCGUGGGAGGAAUGUGUAGUGUAGCGGUGAAAUGCUUAGAGAUUACACAGAACACCGAUUGCGAAGGCAUCUCACGAAGGGUUGAUUGACGCUGAGGCACGAAAGCGUGGGGAUCAAACAGGAUUAGAUGCCCUGGUAGUCCACGCAGUAAACGAUGAUGGCUAACCGCUGGUUUAUUCGGAUCAGUGGCCAAGCGAAAGCGAUAAGCCAUCCACCUGGGGAGUACGACCGCAAGGUUGAAACUCAAAGGAAUUGACGGGG
rnacentral:rRNA from 1 species